CAAAGCCCUGUUACUUUCCUCCCCUCACCUCACACUGUUUUCCCUUCCACUACCAACUCUCAGUACUUGGGUCAGAAACAACUCCUUCUUAUCAAAAGUCCACGAUGACUUCAGAGGACAUCAUGCCUCUCAAGACCUCCCUUCACCAUGCCAGCUUUGCAGAUGGGAUGUGAAGUCUACUCCAAGAUUGGAGCUGACAACAGUGCUUGGAACCAGUACCUGCUGGCCACCAACCUCCUGCUUAUCUUGGUUAUACUGUGGUCUUGGGCAGGAGAUUCAAAGACUAACCUCCUGCACAGCCUCCCACAGACUUGAUCAUUUUAUGUAUAUUUCCAGGAAACAAGAACUUCUGGGUUUCUGCCCAAAAUGACAGCAGGGAUGCCCUGGGCUCCAAGUCCAUCACAGGGCAACAGCGGCUGCCAGGACUGAGAGUGUGGGAGACGGUGCCACAGAUGGAUGUCACUAUCUAGAUCCAAAAGGGCUCUCAGACCCCACUGGAGAAAAGAACCCAGUUGAGGCCACCAAGAAUCAACCUAGCUGGUGACCCAUAUAUACAAAAGGGAUAACCUUAAGGAUAGAGUUCUGGGCCCAGACUUCAAAGCUCUAUUCAAACCAGAAUUUUGCUGGGUUCUGUUUUUUGGGGGGGGGGGAGAGAGAGUAAGGGAACACUCGGCCUCAGGACCUCCCUUCCAGAAAGUCCUGCUAGUUGUGGCACCUUAAGUAAGCCCUGCGGAGGGGAACACUAGGCUCCUGCAAACACUGUCUAUGCUGAAGAGUCUCUCGAAGAGGUCCCCGAGCCUUGACCAUGGGUGGCCAUGAGGCACGAUGAUCACCAUUCCCCUUCCCGCUCUCAGGUCCAAUCCAGACUUUUAGGGCACACGGCAGAGCCUUGAAGUAAAGGGAGGGCAGAAGAGCCCAAAACACAGGAGUGACGGGGGAAGCAGUGGGCAGACAUGUUGGCAAGCCCCGAGCCGUCUGCCAGGGAGGACCCCUGCCUACCCGGACGCCUAACCCGCCCGACACCAAAGGUGGCGGGAAGCAGCCACUGCUCGAACUCUGCCUCUGUUCGAACCCCGGAGCCCGGGCAUGCGGGGGGUAGAGGAUGGAAAUGGGGGAUAUCAGAAAGAAGAGGAUCAUUGAAGCAUUUUCAUUAAUGCACAAAAGAAACACAGACUAGCAGGACAACGUUGAAAGUUGCAUGUUGAAUAUAUUAUCUACUUAAAAAGGAAAAGCAAACUACCUAAUAGAAAUUUUUAGUUCUGUGUUCAGUCUGUUUUUCUAUUCUACUUUAUAUAAGGAUAUGUUCAUGUUAUUUGGUGUUUAUUACUUUCAGAAUCUUUUUUGAAAAAGUGAAAUUGAUGGGGCAGCUAGGUGGCGCAGUGGAUAGAGCGCUGGCCCUGAAGUCAGGAGGACCUGAGUUCAAAUGCCACCUCAGACCAAACCCUUGCCCUGUACUGGCUGUGUGACCUUAGGCAAGUCACUUAACCCCAAUUGCC
ensembl:lncRNA